rnacentral:tRNA from 1 species
UGAGGCGUGGUCGAUCGGUAAGGCACCCGGUUGUUACCCGGGCUCAUGCAGGUUCGAAUCCUGCCGCCUCAGCCA